rnacentral:rRNA from 1 species
GGAAUAUUGGGCAAUGGGCGAAAGCCUGACCCAGCAACGCCGCGUGAGGGAAGAAGGUUUUCGGAUUGUAAACCUCUGUUGUGGAUGACGAAGGAAGUGACGGUAAUCCACAAGGAAGCCCCGGCUAACUACGUGCCAGCAGCCGCGGUAAUACGUAGGGGGCGAGCGUUGUCCGGAAUGACUGGGCGUAAAGGGCGCGUAGGCGGCUGAAUAAGUUAGGAGUGAAAUUCCAGUUUUCAAGAUUGGAACUGCUUUUAAUACUGUUUGGCUUGAGUGCAGAAGAGGUAAGCGGAAUUCCCAGUGUAGCGGUGAAAUGCGUAGAGAUUGGGAAGAACACCAGUGGCGAAGGCGGCUUACUGGGCUGUAACUGACGCUGAGGCGCGAAAGCGUGGGGAGCGAACA